rnacentral:rRNA from 1 species
AGCCCUAGCACAGGUGCUGCAUGGCCGUCGUCAGCUCGUGCCGUGAGGUGUUGGGUUAAGUCCCGCAACGAGCGCAACCCCGCCGUUAGUUGCCAGCGGUUCGGCCGGGCACUCUAACGGGACUGCCCGCGAAAGCGGGAGGAAGGAGGGGACGACGUCUGGUCAGCAUGGCCCUUACGGCCUGGGCGACACACGUGCUACAAUGCCCACUACAAAGCGAGGCCACCCGGCAACGGGGAGCUAAUCGCAAAAAGGUGGGCCCAGUUCGGAUUGGGGUCUGCAACCCGACCCCAUGAAGCCGGAAUCGCUAGUAAUCGCAGAUCAGCACGCUGCGGUGAAUACGUUCCCGGGCCUU